CAGCAGCCGCGGUAAUACGUAAGGGGCGAGCGUUGUUCGGGAUCAUUGGGCGUAAAGGGUGAGUAGGCGGAUAUGCAAGUCUAUGUGUAAAAUACCACAGCUCAACUGUGGAACUAUGCUGGAAACUGCAUGACUAGAGUCUGAUAGGGGAAGUUAGAAUUCCUGGUGUAAGGGUGGAAUCUGUUGAUAUCAGGAAGAAUACCAGAGGCGAAGGCGAACUUCUAGGUCAAGACUGACGCUGAGUCACGAAAGCGUAGGGAGCAAACAGGAUUAGAUACCCUGGUAGUCCA
rnacentral:rRNA from 1 species